rnacentral:rRNA from 1 species
AGAAGCACCGGCUAACUCCGUGCCAGCAGCCGCGGUAAUACGGAGGGUGCAAGCGUUAAUCGGAAUUACUGGGCGUAAAGCGCACGCAGGCGGUUUGUUAAGUCAGAUGUGAAAUCCCCGGGCUCAACCUGGGAACUGCAUCUGAUACUGGCAAGCUUGAGUCUCGUAGAGGGGGGUAGAAUUCCAGGUGUAGCGGUGAAAUGCGUAGAGAUCUGGAGGAAUACCGGUGGCGAAGGCGGCCCCCUGGACGAAGACUGACGCUCAGGUGCGAAAGCGUGGGGAG